ensembl:lncRNA
GCUGGAAUAAUAGAUGCCAUUACCACAGCCCAUGUUGUUUUCAGCAGCUUGGUGAGUCACAGUGAAGAAGAAACCAAUCUUCCAUGCAGUAUGUUUUUUAAAAUGUCCCUUUUUAUGUGCUUUUGUAGUAUUUACUAUGGAUGCUUUUAUUAAGACUUCUAUGCUGUACUGCAAGCAUUAACAACUAAGUUAUAUAUAGAAUUGGACACUCAUAUCAAGAAGUGUCAGUAAGAAGAGUUCCCUGGCAGAACCGAACAAAAGCAAGGCUGUAUUUAGAGAAGAAUUUACAGUAGAGGCAGAUGAGAAGGUAAAAUCCAACUGAUUACGAAGAUGCAGCUUAUUCUGUUAUGAGAUUGGGCAUGCAGGAUAACUGUCUUCAGAAAACUGAAACUGAUCAAAUUGGUUGCAACACAUUACAACUGAACAGUAGUCUUCCCCAUGUAAAUAGUUCUGUGCACUUCGAAGGAUGUGUUUUAGCUCCAUUCACAGAAACAUCUCAGUCACCAGAACGUAGAUUUCUCCAACGUAGACAGUCUGCCAGGACUGAUGUAACGACUAGUAGAGCUUAAAUAAUUUAUUCACUUUGUAGCUCAACUCCUUAGCUGAAAAAUGGAGCAAAAAUUCUCUAGCCGGAAGUGAUACUGCAAAUUUUCAUGAAGUGAGGUAAAAAAUUAAAUAAUUGCUUUAUUAGGACAAUUUAUGACAUUGGCCACACAGUCCAAUGAUGAACUGUGUACUGGUAAUCUUAACUGUUGCAAGGCAAUUUCUGCUUUAUUUCUCAGGUUGCAUGAAGUACGGAUACUUUUCAAUGCUAGAUGCAAUAAACCACUAUGUCUCCAUUUUCCACAGAGCAUAAUGGCAUGAGGAUUCAUGCAGAAGAAUCCAGCAUGCAAAGAAGAAUGUGAAUCCCCUGCCUGAGAUCAAAAAUCUGUCACUCUGUGAAGGAGUUGUGGUGGUGUGGUGGCUGUACACUGUCUCUACUACUUAGACUGCCCAUUGAGGAUCCCAAACCCUGGAAGUAAGAGAGAGAGUAUGGGGACUGGAAGACCUCCCCUUGCUCAAGGUGGAUCUGAUCAGAGAGCAUCUUGCCAAAAUCAACUCGCACAAAUCUGAGAGCCCCAAAGAGGUGCAGCUACAUGUGCUGAGGAAGCAGGCAGAAGUGAUUGCUGAACCAUUCUCUGUUAUCUUUGAAAGGCCCUGGAGAAUGGGAAAGGUCCCUGAAUACUGGAGGACAGCCAAUGUCACACCAACCUUCAAAAAGGGCAAGAAGGACAAUGUAAUGUGUGGCAUUUCCCAGUUUUGUCAUCACAGGUGGAAUAUAACAGUUUGACUCUAGCAUCACAGAGCAGAAGCAAAGAUUCUACUUCAAAGCUCUUCUGAAAGAAGUGUACUUGAGCCAACAUGAAUUUACUGUGUAUUCUAGAAUGAUAACGCUACUAUUUGUUUUCCCCCACUCAUUGAUAAUGC